AGGAACGGUACAGAAGGACAAGCACGCCACGAAGCCCACAGCUCCGUUUGAAAAGUGACUGCCUUGACAUUUACCCAGGCUCAGCCACUGGUUUAGGAAAGAAGAGGUCUCAGAUGAAUGCAGAACUCACUAAUACUGUAAAUCUUGCUAGCUUGUCUGCCCUGAUCGCCCAUGUCUGCUUUUUGAACGUAGAAUUAUGUGCAGACUGCCGAAUCUCUUAUUCACAAAGAAAGCCAAAUAUUACAUUUUCAGGUAUUUUCAGGAAAGAUAAGAAGGCAGAAGAGAGAGCCAAGUACAUCCCAGAGACCUAACCAGGCCCAAAAUGAAGGAUUCUUGGCUGGUAAAAGAACAAAAAAAAAGUCUUCAGUUGCCUCUGCCAGCCUCAGUCAAAGUUUGCAUUUCCUUCGCAGGAUGACAUCCUCUGCGAAGAGGCUGCUUGUGUAUGCAGAACGGAUGAGCCUCCUCAGCUGGUCCUGGGUGACACAUUCAGAUGGUUCUGUUGAAAUCUAACUCCAACUACCUGCAAUCCCUUGGCCAUCUUCCAAGAGAGUGGAUCCUUCCAAAACCUCAAUUUCAGCUCAAGUCUGACAUAAUUUCAAGCUCUCAACUUGUGUGUACAUGUGUGUGAGUGUGUGUACAUGUGUGUGUACAUGUGUGUGUGUGUGUAAAUGCUAAAAGAAGGGUAUAAAGGAUGGAUCUAUUUAUUCCUCAUAGUAGUUUGUGGACCCAACCUUCUGUUUCCCUAGUAAUAUUAGAAAGAAAAAUAGCACAAUUUCCCUUCCUUAGGAUUUAAAACAUCACAUUAAAAAAUUAGAAGUAUCACCUUUGCUUUAUUGAAGCCCCUUGAUGAAGAAGAACUUCCUCUUGGUCAAAAGAAUGACAUUUGAGUUAUACUUGUGGCCCUAAUGGAGACAUGACAUCCUGAUAUUUUCCAAAGAUUAGAAUAUUACAGAGUAUUGUUUGCUCCUUUAAGAGGAAACCAGUAUAUAAGACUUGAGGAAAGAUAUUGAGCUAGAACUAACCAGGAAGCCUCUUGCCAAAGGUGAGCUUUCAUUGUAUCUGAAGAUGUUAUACAAGUUGCCAAGGGAGAAAAGCAGUCAAUAGCUCUACCCCAGUGUAAAGGCUAUAGAUCACAUCAAUGAAUAGCAUGGGAAGACAACCCCAAGGGCACUUAGGUUUCGGGAAAACCAGUAGCCGUCCAAUUGGACUUAAGGCUCUCUUAGUAGGUAAGAUUCAUUCUGGAAUUCAUGGACCUUAUGGAGAAUCUGCUAUUGUCACUUCUUUAAGCCAGUGUCAUUUCCAAUGAAACUCUAAAUACAUAUCCUUAUUCUGAGUAAGACGCUCUUGCCUAUCAUCAAAGAAAAUUUGUUUCUUCAUCAGGUGGAGAGUAUUACAAAAAUCUACAGCAAGUCACACACAGAUAAUAGCUGACUCGGAAGUGCCUAACCCAAACUGAUACAUGUACAGUACAAUUCCUAUACCUCAGGUCCAGGGAACACCCCAGGAAAUGUGGCAGAAAUACUGGAAGAACCAGAGACCAGAACAUCUGCUGUGAGAUGGUAUCUUCUAUAUAUUACAAAGAAGCUGUACCCAUGAAAUCUCAAAAAUAUGGUUGCCUGGACAAGAUCUCCACAAAGACAACACUAGUUGACAUUCCAGUGUUGAUAGGAGAAAUAUCAAAUAAUCAAAAUAUCAAUUCCCCUAAAGGAAAUAUGGGCAAUUAAUGGCUGCUGAGAGAGGUAGAAUCAGGCCUCUCCUUGGGCAAGCCCCUAUGUUAUCCCUAAAGAAGUAUACACACAAGCAGCACUAAACAGAUCCAUAAAGCUGGAUUUAUAUAUACAUGUGUUUGUUUAUAUUUGUAACAAUAAUUAAAGAGGAGUUGGGGGACAGGGGAGGUGUUUGAGGAGGAGAAAGAAGUGUGCAACUGGCAUAAAUAUGCUACUCAUGUAUGCAAUUCUCAAUACAAAAUUCAAAGAGAAAAUCAUCGUUAAUUUACCUGGAUCUGUCAAUUACUUGCCCUGAAGACUACACCUCAAGAAAUGGAUUCAUUUGAAGGCAUUCUAAAGAGAUGGGAAGAAUAAUUGUGCUCGUAAUGAUAUAGCACAGAAAUUGGAGUACAGUCUAGUCGAGAGCACCCACCAUGCAGCCCUGCUAGACCUAUCCAACCCUAGUUCUUUGUUCUAACUGAAAAAAGCCUAACUUUUUUCUAUUUCUUCUUAUUUCCUUUUCUUGAGAUACUGCCUAAACCUCUAAUUAUGCUUUACUUCAGGGCUUUGGCACUUUUUUUCUGAAGCCCCUGACCUUCUACAUUGCAGCCGCGUGCUACCCUGCUGAACAUUGCUAAUGUUGCUGAACAUGCUGACCUCCCUAACGCAAAUGCAUGACUUUCUUCCUUCCUUACCUCCGAGUAGUCACUGAGAUUUACAGCCUGCCUGUACUGUUGCUUUUCUCUCAAACUCUAAUAAAAUUGCCCUCUAACUU
rnacentral:lncRNA from 1 species